GGACACAUUGUCAGGUUGUGCAGAGUGUGCAGAACGGGCAGAAAAAGGUGUCUAACGGCUAGUUUCCGUGGGGGGUGGUUUAAAUAGCCACAGAGGACUGUAGCAAGGCAGAGAACGACCAUUCCAUUCAAAGAAAUCAAGCAUUCUUUCUCUGCAAACGGGUUUUCAACAGAAAAGAAGGAAGAGCACCAUUAACUCCAUCCAGCUCCCUCUUCCCAGCAAUUAACGAAGUCACCUCCUGCUUUCAAGUCGACCAGACGUUCA
rnacentral:lncRNA from 1 species